rnacentral:lncRNA from 1 species
AGACAUGUGCUUUCCGAUCUGAUGCUCUACCGACUGAGCUAUCCAGGC